GGCGGGCCAGGGCGGGGCCGCGGGGUUGGUCCCGGCCGCCGCGCGGGGAAGCCCCUGUCCCCCAAGCACCGCCCUCGCCACGCGCCCGCCGGGGAACCGCAGUGACGGAAAGAGAAUCUGAUGGCUCAGUAUGGGUCAGGUAUCUACCCCUGGUGGAAUCCACUGUGGCCAGUGAGGGAAUGGACUGUGGCCACUCAGAAAUAUAUUGGCAUCAACUCUCCAAGGAAUCUCUGGCACUGAUUUUCAAAGAUAGUUGAAGAUGCUGGACGUGCAGCUGGCCCCACCACCUCUGUCUCCACGUAAGGUUGAAAAGCAGGAAGAAAGUCCAGAUCCAUUGCGGCACUGCCCCAUUCCCCGCACACCCGCUCUCCAGCCCCAAAGAACCAUAAUCUACUUUAUGUCUCUAUGGAUUUGCCUCUUCUGACUUUUCAGAUAAAUAAAAGCAUAAAAUUUGUGA